CCUACGGGAGGCAGCAGUGAGGAAUAUUGGUCAAUGGACGAGAGUCUGAACCAGCCAAGUAGCGUGAAGGAUGACUGCCCUAUGGGUUGUAAACUUCUUUUAUAUGGGAAUAAAAUGUUCCACGUGUGGGAUUUUGUAUGUACCAUAUGAAUAAGGAUCGGCUAACUCCGUGCCAGCAGCCGCGGUAAUACGGAGGAUCCGAGCGUUAUCCGGAUUUUUUGGGUUUAAAGGGAGCGUAGGUGGAUUGUUAAGUCAGUUGUGAAAGUUUGCGGCUCAACCGUAAAAUUGCAGUUGAAACUGGCAGUCUUGAGUACAGUAGAGGUGGGCGGAAUUCGUGGUGUAGCGGUGAAAUGCUGAGAUAUCACGAAGAACUCCGAUUGCGAAGGCAGCUCACUGGACUGCAACUGACACUGAGGCUCGAAAGUGUGGGUAUCAAACAGGAUUAGAUACCCGAGUAGUC
rnacentral:rRNA from 1 species